AGUGAACGCUGGCGGUAGGCCUAACACAUGCAAGUCGAACGGCAGCACAGUAAGAGCUUGCUCUUACGGGUGGCGAGUGGCGGACGGGUGAGGAAUACAUCGGAAUCUACUUUUUCGUGGGGGAUAACGUAGGGACACUUACGCUAAUACCGCAUACGACCUACGGGUGAAAGCAGGGGAUCUUCGGACCUUGCGCGAUUGAAUGAGCCGGUGCCGGAUUAGCUAGUUGGCUGGGUAAAGGCCCACCAAGGCGACGAUCCGUAGCUGAUCUGAGAGGAUGAUCAGCCACACUGGAACUGAGACACGGUCCAGACUCCUACGGGAGGCAGCAGUGGGGAAUAUUGGGCAAUGGGCGCAAGCCUGAUCCAGCCAUACCGCGUGGGUGAAGAAGGCCUUCGGGUUGUAAAGCCCUUUUGUUGGGAAAGAAAAGCAGCAUGUUAAUACCCCGCUGUUCUGACGGUACCCAAAGAAUAAGCACCGGCUAACUUCGUG
rnacentral:rRNA from 1 species